rnacentral:rRNA from 1 species
CCCUUAGAUGUUCUGGGCUGCACGCGCGCUACACUGAUGCGAUCAACAAGUUUUUCCUAUGUCGAUAGACACGGGUAAUCUUUUGAACUCGCAUCGUGAUGGGGAUAGAUUAUUGUAAUUAUUAAUCUUCAACGAGGGAUUCCUAGUAGGUGCAAAUCAUCAGUUUGCAUCGAUUACGUCCCUGCCCUUUGUACACACCGCCCGUCGCUGCUACCGAUUGGUUGAUCUGGUGAAUUAUUCGGACUGCCGGCUGAAGGGGUUUCCUCAUCUGCCAGCGGAAAGUCUUGUUAACCCUAUCAACUAGAGGAAGCAGAAGUCGUAACA